ACCUGAUGCAGUUGAAAAGUCAGAGGCUUUCGUCUUUGGAGCGGAUGAGAACCAGGAAGACCCAGAGAUUGUAAACCUGGAUGGGAAGCCAUUGUUGGGCCUGCCUGACAGCAUUCAUCUAGGCCUGGUGACAUUUGGACCUGAUGUCACAGUACAUAUGGUUGACGAAAAAGCUCCAGAACUGCAAGAAUAUAGUGACCUGUUUGAUAGCGGUAAGAUAGGACGGUACAGGUUCCUCCAUAUGCCGUACGGCAUUUCAACUGGCAGCGAAGUGUUCCAGAGGACAAUGGAGCAGCUGUUUGCUGGGCAGCCAUGCGAAAUCGUGGUUGAUGAUAUCCUGGUGUGGGGCUGCAAUAAGGAGGAGCA